CUAAUACUCCCUCCGUCCGGAAAUACUUGUCAUUGAAAUGGAUGUAUCUAGAUGUAUUUUAGUUCUAGAUACAUCCAUUUUCAUCCAUUUUGAUGACAAGUAUUUUCGGACGGAGGGAGUACUUC
rnacentral:pre_miRNA from 1 species